rfam:Ictidomys tridecemlineatus contig038961, whole genome shotgun sequence.
AGGGAUAUAGCUCAGUUGGUAGAGUGUUUGCCUUGCAUGAAUAAGGCUCUGGGUUCGAUCUCCAGCACCCUCA